GAGGCGAAACUACCUAAAAUUAACUCUUUUGUACUCAUCUUGACAGCUAAGUGGAAUGAUUCAAAAUUGAGUGUUUCGCAAAGUAUCCAAAUUUAAGUCAUUCCACGAAUAGGUCGUUUUAAGUAAAAACUAACUGUUCCUGUAAUAGUGAUUUUUGAGAUUACAAAUAAGUAUACAUAUAAAUUCAGAAAAAAACAUGCCAUCCGCAUCCCGGUUCCCAGUCUCCGUUCCGGCGAUGAAUCUGUGAUUAGUCCAGCGAUUCCUCCUGCUCAUUUGGCGCAGCUGUUAUAUGAAGGUUGUCCUAACACAAUAUACAUAAUUAAGCUUGAGUUUCUAAUAGAAUAUUGCACUGAUUCUUACCUGUGAAUUUGAAGUUUUUCAGAUUUCGAAUCCGUUCUAUUUUCCUAUGGCAUUUCCAAGUCGUCAGAAGAUGGUGCAGUUUAUUCCCAUGCAAUAACACUCGUACACAAUACAGCUGAAUACAAAUGAUGAAAAUGUCAUAGAAAAAAGACUGCAGUAAUAUAAAAAACAGUGAAACUUACCGAAAUAAUUCAACAACAUCUCUAACUGAACUUAACUAAUGGAGCCGUUUAAUUUUUUCAUCCAAAAUAGAGUCUGGUUUAAACUCUUCAUUUUGGGUACUUUCAUACGAAAAGAGUAAACAAAAUAAAUCAUCGAAGAUAAUAACUUUCAAAUAACUCAAAAAUGAAUUAUUUCGGUAGUACUCUAAGAAUAAGUUAAA